UGGAUCGCUGAUGACUUCUGGUGGCGUAUGAGUCUUGUACGAUGAAUACGUCUGGAACUCUGAGGUCCAU
ensembl:snoRNA SNORD114-22 small nucleolar RNA, C/D box 114-22